rnacentral:lncRNA from 1 species
CGUCCUCCAACCACUCUGGACCGAAUGGUAUUGUAGAUACUGGUUUGGAAACAUACACUGCUUUUAUCCCCUUUCUAGAAUCAACCCUAUUGAUUAACCCUGAGCACCUUCUAGUAGCUGAAAUAAUUAGACCAAACUUUACUACCGCCAUUGUAUGGUAUUUUGCCACCCCAGGUGAUAACACCUCUCUAAGUCGCAGACAAUACUUUCGUUCAUUUGUAACCAGCAAGUCUUCACUAACAGAAUACUGCUGCCAUUGGAUUGCGUCCUAACCAUGCGACUUGUACGAAUCAAGACUAAGAGUCUUGACCUUUGGAGGUCCCAUAAGGACCAUCUCUUACUCGGUUUGUCAGUAGUCAUGGCAGCCUUUAUUACCUCUGCAUUGGGUGCCUUAGCCAUAGCUAUGAUAUGCAGCACUUACCAAACCGGCUCCCUGGCUACGAUUCCCAUCCAAAAGUUUGACAACUCUUCUCAGACUAUCUUUAAACGCUCACUUGACAUGAACAAGUACAGACGUUCCAUUGUCCAUCAGACUUGGUAUGAAGCGGGCAAUCGCACGUGUGAACGAUACUGUCCUUAUGUCGACCCAACAGUUUCUAUGUCAAAUUCCGACCUAUUCUCAUCAUUUUCCUACGCGAAUAUUUACUUUGAGUGGACCCAAUAUCGCCAAUCUGAUUACAAAACAACUAAAAAACGCUGUUUGCCAUCGCCUGCCAAUAUCUGUGACCAACCUGCUAACUGUUUCAAUUCUGCACGCCUUAAGAGACGACCAUCCAAGACUUUGCAUUGCAGCCUAGCUUUAUUAAUGUCAUACUUCCUGACCAUUACACCCUCGACACGCGACAGAUACACCUACUUCCAAGUUGAAUAUCGUUCAAUGACCUCAGUAGCGUUCCUAAUUGACACCAAAGGUAAAUUUUCUCUUAAGGCUUACCCAAUUGGUUCUAACUGCUCACAUCAGGCUCAAUAUACUUUAAAUGCCUUCUGCGAGCCUUUAAUUUGCUAUGAACAAGCCCGCCUUAACAGAACUCCAAGAGCUGUGGUGCAUUCCUGGGAAGCUCAGAGAUUGUUCACGUUCGAUUCCUUAGACCCCAAUGACUUACCUGACACAGAUAAUGACCCUGGUGUAGUAAUUUCCCAAUAUGCUGACCAGAAUAUGUUUUAUCAAUAUUUGACCUAUACCGCCCAAUCAGUUGCUUCAACUGACUGUUUACCUUGUCACAAUGGGAACAGCGUCCCAACUAUAACCCCCAUAGACGGUUUAGAUAUUGUCACUAACAGAACAGUUCCGUCCCCUCUGCAAUGCCUGAUGUCUUCAUUGACCAUUCCCAGCCAACACUCAACUGUUGAUCCAAGAUGUUCUGAUAUUGAUGGCCCAAUUGUUCCACCACCUCCAGUNAUACGUGAUACUGGAGCUCAGUAUCCUUUUUGUUUUUGCAGAACCAAUUCACGACACACUCUUCCUGAACUUGACAAUAGGUGUCGUAUCAGACUUAACCCUUUUGGUACUGAUAUACUCACAGGAUACAGAUAUCUUAAGGUUAACUUAGCUAACGGUACC